GAUGAACGCUGACAGAAUGCUUAACACAUGCAAGUCCACUUGAACUUCGGUUUGGGUGGCGGACGGGUGAGUAACGCGUAAAGAACUUGCCUCACAGAUAGGGACAACAUUUGGAAACGAAUGCUAAUACCUGAUAUUAUGAUUAUAUGGCAUCGUAUAAUUAUGAAAGCUAUAUGCGCUGUGAGAGAGCUUUGCGUCCCAUUAGCUAGUUGGAGAGGUAACGGCUCACCAAGGCGAUGAUGGGUAGCCGGCCUGAGAGGGUGAUCGGCCACAAGGGGACUGAGACACGGCCCUUACUCCUACGGGAGGCAGCAGUGGGGAAUAUUGGACAAUGGACCAAGAGCCUGAUCCAGCAAUUCUGUGUGCACGAUGAAGUUUUUCGGAAUGUAAAGUGCUUUCAGUUGGGAAGAAAAAAAUGACGGUACCAACAGAAGAAGUGACGGCUAAAUACGUG
rnacentral:rRNA from 1 species